rnacentral:rRNA from 1 species
GACGAACGCUGGCGGCGUGCUUAACACAUGCAAGUCGAACGGAAAGGCCCUGCUUUUGUGGGGUGCUCGAGUGGCGAACGGGUGAGUAACACGUGAGUAACCUGCCCUUGACUUUGGGAUAACUUCAGGAAACUGGGGCUAAUACCGGAUAGGAGCUCCUGCUGCAUGGUGGGGGUUGGAAAGUUUCGGCGGUUGGGGAUGGACUCGCGGCUUAUCAGCUUGUUGGUGGGGUAGUGGCUUACCAAGGCUUUGACGGGUAGCCGGCCUGAGAGGGUGACCGGCCACCUUGGGCCUGCGGUACGGCCCAGACUCCUACGGGAGGCAGCAGUGGCGAAUCUUGCACAAUGGGCGGGAGCCUGAUGCAGCGACGCCGCGUGCGUGAUGACGGCCUUCGGGUUGUAAACCGCUUUCGCCUGUGACGAAGCGUGAGUGACGGUAAUGGGUAAAGAAGCACCGGCUAACUACGUG